rnacentral:pre_miRNA from 1 species
AUAAUACUCCCUCCGUCCCAAAAUUAUUGUCUUAAAUUUGUCUAGAUACGGAUGUACCUAAUACUAAAACGUGACUUGAUACAUCCGUAUUUAGACAAAUCUAAGACAAGAAUUUUGGGACGGAGGGAGUAAGUU